rnacentral:rRNA from 1 species
AUGCUGGAGGUAUCAGAAGUGCGAAUGCUGACAUAAGUAACGAUAAAGCGGGUGAAAAGCCCGCUCGCCGGAAGACCAAGGGUUCCUGUCCAACGUUAAUCGGGGCAGGGUGAGUCGACCCCUAAGGCGAGGCCGAAAGGCGUAGUCGAUGGGAAACAGGUUAAUAUUCCUGUACUUGGUGUUACUGCGAAGGGGGGACGGAGAAGGCUAUGUUGGCCGGGCGACGGUUGUCCCGGUUUAAGCGUGUAGGCUGGUUUUCCAGGCAAAUCCGGAAAAUCAAGGCUGAGGCGUGAUGACGAGGCACUACGGUGCUGAAGCAACAAAUGCCCUGCUUCCAGGAAAAGCCUCUAAGCAUCAGGUAACAUCAAAUCGUACCCCAAACCGACACAGGUGGUCAGGUAGAGAAUACCAAGGCGCUUGAGAGAACUCGGGUGAAGGAACUAGGCAAAAUGGUGCCGUAACUUCGGGAGAAGGCACGCUGAUAUGUAGGUGAAGCGACUUGCUCGUGGAGCUGAAAUCAGUCGAAGAUACCAGCUGGCUGCAACUGUUUAUUAAAAACACAGCACUGUGCAAACACGAAAGUGGACGUAUACGGUGUGACGCCUGCCCGGUGCCGGAAGGUUAAUUGAUGGGGUCAGCGCAAGCGAAGCUCUUGAUCGAAGCCCCGGUAAACGGCGGCCGUAACUAUAACGGUCCUAAGGUAGCGAAAUUCCUUGUCGGGUAAGUUCCGACCUGCACGAAUGGCGUAAUGAUGGCCAGGCUGUCUCCACCCGAGACUCAGUGAAAUUGAACUCGCUGUGAAGAUGCAGUGUACCCGCGGCAAGACGGAAAGACCCCGUGAACCUUUACUAUAGCUUGACACUGAACAUUGAGCCUUGAUGUGUAGGAUAGGUGGGAGGCUUUGAAGUGUGGACGCCAGUCUGCAUGGAGCCGACCUUGAAAUACCACCCUUUAAUGUUUGAUGUUCUAACGUUGACCCGUGAUCCGGGUUGCGGACAGUGUCUGGUGGGUAGUUUGACUGGGGCGGUCUCCUCCUAAAGAGUAACGGAGGAGCACGAAGGUUGGCUAAUCCUGGUCGGACAUCAGGAGGUUAGUGCAAUGGCAUAAGCCAGCUUGACUGCGAGCGUGACGGCGCGAGCAGGUGCGAAAGCAGGUCAUAGUGAUCCGGUGGUUCUGAAUGGAAGGGCCAUCGCUCAACGGAUAAAAGGUACUCCGGGGAUAACAGGCUGAUACCGCCCAAGAGUUCAUAUCGACGGCGGUGUUUGGCACCUCGAUGUCGGCUCAUCACAUCCUGGGGCUGAAGUAGGUCCCAAGGGUAUGGCUGUUCGCCAUUUAAAGUGGUACGCGAGCUGGGUUUAGAACGUCGUGAGACAGUUCGGUCCCUAUCUGCCGUGGGCGCUGGAGAACUGAGGGGGGCUGCUCCUAGUACGAGAGGACCGGAGUGGACGCAUCACUGGUGUUCGGGUUGUCAUGCCAAUGGCACUGCCCGGUAGCUAAAUGCGGAAGAGAUAAGUGCUGAAAGCAUCUAAGCACGAAACUUGCCCCGAGAUGAGUUCUCCCUGACUCCUUGAGAGUCCUGAAGGAACGUUGAAGACGACGACGUUGAUAGGCCGGGUGUGUAAGCGCAGCGAUGCGUUGAGCUAACCGGUACUAAUGAACCGUGAGGCUUAACCUUACAACGCCGAAGGUGUUU